AGAGAGAGACAUGCGCGCAUAUCAAUAAGCGGAGGAAAAGAAACUAACUAGGAUUCCCUCAGUAACGGCGAGUGAAGCGGGAAGAGCUCAAAUUUGAAAUCUUCAAGGUUCUACCUUGACGAAUUGUAGUUUAAAGAAGUGUUUUCUGUUGGAGUUUUGGUAAAAGUUCUUUGGAAUAGGACAUCAUAGAGGGUGAGAAUCCCGUAUUUGACCAUUAUUUCCAGCUUUGUGAUACACUUUCAAAGAGUCGGAUUGUUUGGGAAUGCAGUCCAAAAUGGGUGGUAAAUUUCAUCUAAAGCUAAAUAUUGGCGAGAGACCGAUAGCGAACAAGUACCGUGAGGGAAAGAUGAAAAGAACUUUGAAAAGAGAGUUAAACAGUACGUGAAAUUGUCAAAAGGGAAGCGUUUGACACCAGUGUUGUUUUCUCGAAAAUCCAAUUAAAAAAGGCAGGAUUUUGUGUUGUAUUGACUUUAUCAGCUUUCUGCACUCUUUUCUUGUCUUUUUUAAUGCACUUUUCGUUUAACAAGUCAACAUCAAUUUCUUUUGUUGUAAAAGGGUCAUUGGAAGGUGGCUUUCUUUUCGGAGAAAGUGUUUAUAGCCUUUGGCCUCUGCAAUCGGAGAGAUUGAGGUCUGCAGCGUAGAUCCUUCGGGGUUAGAUACACUUUGUGCUAAGUUAUAGCCUUUCAUAGACAACUUGUUGACUAUGAUCAGUCAUGUAGCUUACUCGCUUAUGCUAUUUUACCUACGCUUAGGAUGUUGAUGUGAUACUGCGAGCA
rnacentral:rRNA from 1 species